GUGUGGAAGUGAUAAGACUGAAGGCAAGAUUGGGCAGGAGAAGAGGAUUUAGUGGCAGAAAGUUGGAAAUCCACUUUUAAAAAAAACUGUAAAUAAAAAUUUUUCAUCUUGACGUUAAGUUUAUAAUUUAUGAGACCUCAAAUUUAUGAGACCUAAUAUAUUUGACCGUCAAUUUUGCUGCUUUCGGUUUUCACCUGGUGUGCUUCUCCGCCAAUCUUGCAGCUUUCGGAGGUCAGAAGGCCUACCACCAGUGGUGGGAUAAUUUUUGUGGCCUCCGUACAUUCAAAAUAAAAUAAAAUAAAAUAAAAAACUGGUGCGCUCGUUGGCCACAAUGCUUGGCCCCUCAGGCGCGCUCCAACCUGGCUCCAGAAAAGUAAUCCGUUCCGCUCACCACCAUCUCACGACGCAAGCGGCAGUCGCGGCUCC
rnacentral:lncRNA from 1 species